AUUAAACGCUGGCGGCAUGCCUUACACAUGCAAGUCGAACGGCAGCACGGGGUGGUAACACUCUGGUGGCGAGUGGCGGACGGGUGAGUAAAGCAUCGGAACGUGCCCUGGAAUGGGGGAUAACGUAGCGAAAGUUACGCUAAUACCGCAUAUUCUGUGAGCAGGAAAGCAGGGGAUCGCAAGACCUUGCGUUCGAGGAGCGGCCGAUGUCGGAUUAGCUAGUUGGUGGGGUAAAGGCCUACCAAGGCGACGAUCCGUAGCGGGUCUGAGAGGAUGAUCCGCCACACUGGGACUGAGACACGGCCCAGACUCCUACGGGAGGCAGCAGUGGGGAAUUUUGGACAAUGGAGGGAACUCUGAACCAGCCAUCCCGCGUGCAGGAUGAAGGGGGCUCUGCCCUGUAAACUGCUUUUGAAUGGGACGAAAAAGCUCACUUGUGAGGAACUGACGGUACCGAUUAGAAUAAGCACCGGCUAACUCCGUGCCAGCAGCCGCGGUAAU
rnacentral:rRNA from 1 species